rnacentral:rRNA from 1 species
GAGCGUGCGAAGGCGCAAGCCGCUGUAUACGCUCUGACGCCUGCCCGGUGCCGGAAGGUUAAGAGGAUCCGUCAGCUUCUGCGAAGCGGUGAAUUCAAGCCCCGGUAAACGGCGGUGGUAACUAUAACCAUCCUAAGGUAGCGAAAUUCCUUGUCGGGUAAGUUCCGACCUGCACGAAUGGCGUAACGACUUCCCCACUGUCUCGACCAGGAGCUCGGCGAAAUUGCAGUACGAGUAAAGAUGCUCGUUAAGCGCAGAAGGACGAAAAGACCCCGGGACCUUUACUAUACCUUGGUAUUGGCAUUAGGCGCGGAUUGUGUAGCAUAGGCGGGAGGCUUCGAGGCGGGUGCGCCAGCAUCCGCGGAGCCGCAAGGUGAAAUACCGCUCUGUUCUCGUUUGAUGUCUAACCUCGAACAGUCAUCCUGUUCAGGGACAGUGCCUGGCGGGUAGUUCAACUGGGGCGGUUGCCUCCCAAAGAGUAACGGAGGCGCUCAAAGGUCCGCUCGGCCCGGUUGGCAAUCGGGUGUCGAGUGUAAUCGCACAAGCGGGCUUGACUGCGAGAUCGACGGAUCGAGCAGGGACGAAAGUCGGAGAUAGUGAUCCGGUGCCGGCGCACGGGCGCGGCAUCGCUCAACGGAUAAAAGGUACCCCGGGGAUAACAGGCUGAUCAUUCCCAAGAGUCCAUAUCGACGGGAUGGUUUGGCACCUCGAUGUCGGCUCGUCGCAUCCUGGGGCUGGAGCAGGUCCCAAGGGUUCGGCUGUUCGCCGAUCAAAGCGGCACGCGAGCUGGGUUCAGAACGUCGUGAGACAGUUUGGUCUCUAUCCUCUGCGCUCGUUGGAAUCUUGAGGAGGCCUGCCCAUAGUACGAGAGGACCUGGGUGGACGAACCUCUGGUAUGCCGGUCGUCACGCCAGUGGCGCGGCCGGUUGGCUACGUUCGGAAGGGAUAACCGCUGAAAGCAUCUAAGCGGGAAGCCUUCUCCAAGAUAAGGAUUCCAUGCGGCCCCGAGCCGCUGAAGACCCCAUGCAGAACACGUGGUCGAUAGGCCGGACGUGGAAGCCCCGCGAGGGGUGGAGCCGACCGGUACUAAUGGUCGAGAGGCAACCCACA